rnacentral:rRNA from 1 species
GUCCACGCCGUAAACGAUGUCAACUAGCCGUUGGGCUCUUUAAGGGCUUAGUGGUGCAGCUAACGCGAUAAGUUGACCGCCUGGGGAGUACGGUCGCAAGAUUAAAACUCAAAUGAAUUGACGGGGGCCCCGCACAAGCGGUGGAGUAUGUGGUUUAAUUCGAUGCAACGCGAAGAACCUUACCUGGCCUUGACAUGUCCGGAACUUACCAGAGAUGGUUUGGUGCCUUCGGGAACCGGAACACAGGUGCUGCAUGGCUGUCGU